rnacentral:rRNA from 1 species
CAGCAGUAAGGAAUAUUGCGCAAUGGAGGCAACUCUGACGCAGCCAUGCCGCGUGCAGGAAGACGGCCUUAUGGGUUGUAAACUGCUUUUACAAGGGAAUAAACCCCCGUUCGUGGACGGGGCUGAAUGUACCUUAAGAAUAAGCACCGGCUAACCCCGUG